rnacentral:lncRNA from 1 species
CUUGAUUCCAGUAAGUGAAAUUUCUCCCCAAAUUAACUAUUUACAAUCAUAGAAAUUCAACCAAUUACAAUCACAAUCAUAGAAAUUCUAACCUUUAAAACUUUUCCCCAAAUUUUCAAACCCUAACCACAAGGAUUUGCAAUCGAAGAAAUUCCACCAAUCACAAUCAACAAUUAGAAGAAUCAGUAAAGAGUUAAAGAAUAUGGCAAUGAGUGGUUGUUUGAUGGGAUCUACGAAUUGAAGAGAUUUAGAGAUGAAGAUGAAUUUUAAGGUUGUUCUUGGAAAUAUUGUUUGAAAAAAUGGAGUAAAGAUCCUUGUUAUUGAACCUUUAUCAUUGAGUCAUAAACUUAUUUUGAUUUCAAUUUUUUUUUU